GGGGCUGUAGCUCAGUGGUAGAGCGCUUGCUUAGCAUGUGUGAGGCACAGUUCCAUCCUCAGCACCA
rnacentral:tRNA from 1 species